CUUCCUUCCCUUCUUCCUUCCAUCCUUCUUUCCAUCCUUCCUUUUUUCUCCCUUCCUCCCUCUCUCUUACAUUGUCCAAUUUUCUAUAUAACCACUUCUAUCUUUAUCCUUCCCCUCUUCUUGUUCUCUUAUUUUCCUUCUUCCCUCCUUCCAUCUUUUUUUUUCCUUUCCUCUCUUCUUUCAUUACUUCCUUUUGUUCCAUUCCCUUCUUCCUUCGUUUCUUUCCCCAUCCAUUCAUGUCCUCAUUUAAUAUGCCCUUUCCAUCCUCCUCCUUCUCUCUUGUUUCAAACUUUUCUUCCUUUCUUCCUCCUAUCUCCCCUUAUCUCUCCAGCUUCCUUCUUCUUUUCCCUACGUUUCCUCCUUCGUUCGUGCCCUUCCCAAACGAAAGGAAUCUCUUUUUCGUUUUAUAUGCCCUUUCCAUCCAUUCUCCUGUUUUUCUCUUAUUUCCAACUUUUUUUCUCUUCCUCUUUUCCUCCUAUCUCCCCUUAUCUCUCCAGCUUCCUUCCUCUCUUCCCUCCGUUUCCUCCUUCGUUCGUGUCCUUCCCAAACGAAAGGAAUCUCUUUUUCUUGUCUGAGGCUUCUUUUUGUAUCUCCUUCCACCCAGGGACAGGCACCCGAGGCCGAAGACGAGAACACCCCCGAGAAGAGAGUGGAUAAAAUCUUCUCCCAAAUGGACAAAAACAACGACGAAAAGCUUACCCUUGAGGAGUUCAAAGAGGGUUCCAAAGCUGACCCUCGAAUCGUACAGGCGCUGUCUCUUGGCGACAACUAAAUGCCCCAAGUUCAUCCUACUCAAAUGUGAUGCUCAAGGUCAAGCACCUGAAGCCGAUGACGAGAACGCCCCGCAGAAGAGAGUCGACCAGAUUUUCUCCCAGAUGGACAAGAACCACGACGAGAAGCUCACCCUCGAGGAGUUCAAGGAGGGCUCUAAGGCUGACCCCAGGAUCGUCGAGGCCCUUUCACUAGGGGACAACUGAAGCCUUCGAGUCCUCAUCCUCCUGAUUCUUAAUCCUGAUCCUGUUUCACCUACAGCCCCUACGUCCUCUUCUUCCUAGUCUUUCAUCCACAUCCUCCACUUCCUCCUAUAUUUGUUCCUCCUCUUUUUCCUCCUUCUUCUAUCCUUCUUCCUCCUCCUCCUCGUCGUCGUCGUCCUCCUCGUCUUCGUCCUCGUCGUCGUCGUCGUCGUCGUCCUCCUCCUCCUCCUCCUCCUCCUCCUCCUCCUCCUCGUCCUCCUCCUCCUCCUCCUCUUCCUCCUCUUCCUCUUCCUCCUCAUCGUGACACUCACAAGUCGUCUUUCAACGGCGGACCUUCAGGUGGCGAUCUACUGAGCGAGAAAGGGUUCCCACCAUCGACACUCGCCGACGUCGUCUUCAAAAUGUUCAACAAAGUGUUUUCGAGAAAAUGGAAGCCUUUUUUUGGUCUUUUUUGUAUCUCUUUUUGUGUCAUUUUGUCCUUGGUUCUCUGUCGAACUGGAUAGCUUGAGCACUUGCCCAUGUAUUGUUAUUACUCUGAAUAGCAGUUAAUCAAUACGUGAUACUCAUUACGAGAUGUAUGAAGGAAACAUAUAUAUAUAUAUAUAUAAUACACGUUUGAUAUAUAAUAAUUUCUUUAGGGAAUGUUGGUUAAUGGAUGUGUUGAUCUGUACCUGUAAUCGUAUGUUAUCUGGUCUAAGCAAAAUAAUAUUCCCACGUUCUCACGCCAGACUUCAAUAUUUAACUCACUAUUUGAAGAUAAUUCUGUAUAACGCAUAGACUACGUUUCUCUAUGACGCAUUACGCAUUUCUUUUCUUUUUUUCGUUAUUUUUUUUAUAACACCAUUACUCAAGCCAUUAUAUUCCACUCUCCACACUACUUUUGAUUACCGUACUUUCUGCAUGAAUCAAAAACACAAUCAUAAUAAUUAUUUAAAGAGGACAAGAAAAGGAAAAUAAAUCUGUUAAUGACGACAGGUUUGAAGCGUCGAUAACAAACCUCACAUCACACAUGACAAUUUUUCAGCGUUCUCAAAUGUCAAUGAGCAUUUGUAUGUCUAGCACGUCACCAAAUAAUCUUUAUCAUAUAUCUUUGAAGACUUCAUUAAAAAAAAAAAAGAGAGAGAGAGAUGCGUAGAUCUUGAACCCUACCAAUCUUUAAACUAGGUAAGGAAGAUAGAAAAAAAAAAAAGUUUCUAGAACAAGGUCCGAACUCUUUACUCCCUAAAAAAAAAAAAAAAAAAAAACAUGGGUAGGGGAACUGCCGGUGUAGUCGAAUCAUGAUUAUUAUGAUGAUGAUAAUCAAUAACUAAUGCUGGUUAAGACACGUACUUAAUCAACUGAAUUCAGUCUAUAAACGGACGAAUCCAGGCGUGGUUCCAGUCACUUGCCUGGCAACCAAUCAAAUCAAAGUUUGCAAAUGGUGAAUGCACCAAUCAACUCACGGGAUACGUAUCAGUGUAUAAAAUGCAAUGAAUGGCAUCCACAUUCAUCCAAAAAACGACUGUCUAGGUUCACUUCAUAGAUUGAAUGUUCAGAGUUCAGAGUUGGGGCCUCUGUCGUGUAGAUAUUAGACGUAUUAUCUGCAGAGGAACAUUUCAAAACACUUGCUCAUAACUGCAGGUCAAUGAGGAAAAAAUAAUUAAUAAUAAUAAUAAUUAAUAAUAAUAAUAAUAAUAUAAUAUAAUAAUAAUAAUAAGUUUGGCUUUGUUUGUACGCUUAGAAAGAUGCAUGAGAGCAGCAUUUUAUCAUCAAAGAAUUUUUGGACAAUAUACCGUUAUAAUCCUUUUGUCAUGGGCGUUACUAUUGAUAAACAUAGACAUUAAUGACCAUUCUUUUCAUCACUGCCUUUUCGUUCCGUUAUUGUUCAAGGGAAGUCGAGCGAAGCCAAACAAAAUGGCGACGUAUUUCCUGCUUCCUUUAUCUGUUUUUCCAACACCACCACCGAUGUUACAAAAAAAAAAAAUAUUAAAAAAAUGAAAAAAAAAAAAAA
rnacentral:lncRNA from 1 species